AGAAGGGCAAACCCGGUCUUCCAGGCAUCAAAGGAGACAUGGGAAUAAGAGGUCAAAAAGGUGCAAAAGGCGAACCCGGGACACGAGGAACAGUGGGCACACUGGGGAAGAUAGGGUUCAUUGGCGCUCUGGGUGCUAAAGGUCGUCCUGGCCCUGC